rnacentral:lncRNA from 10 species
AGAAGGCAGGAGGUGAAGGAGACGGCACAGGCAGAGGUACAGAGUGGUGACUGAAACCACAUGCCAUGUUAGGAGACUUCCAAACAAGUCUAGAGGGUUGGCACUUAGAGAUGAAGAAGACGGUCUUCUGGGUACACUUGGCUCUCCUGAUGAAGCUUUUAAGAGAAAGGCAAAGUUGACCCUGGGCCUUCAAAAAACUGUUCUUUCAGGCAAAACCUCGAGAGGAGAAUUGGCUGCUAGGGAUCCUCUGCAGAGACCUUGAAGAACAUGGCGAUUGUGAAACUUCAACAAGAAAAGAUUUAAGCUGAUCUUUAAAAAAAAUACUGUCAGGAAUUUUGUAGAAAUGACUUUAAUAUAAUAACUGCUUCUUUGACUUAUGUUUUGUCUGGUGGUGAAAAGAAAAAUAUUUAUGAAAGCAUGCCUGUGUCCUAAAAUUGGGGACACAAAUUUAAAUGACUGAAGACACUUGAGGAGUGGAGGCAAGGAUGGUGAAACCAGGCCCUGUACCAAGCAGGAGAGCAUGAACCUGCUAAAGAGAGCUACUGCUUUUCAUUUACAGUCAACUCAUCUGAAAUGGAAUUGAGACUCCAUUUCAGCCACAGCGAUUGAUCUGGAUUUUUUGUAAAAUUUCCUCAUUUUUACAUAUUACCAAUUAAUUAAUUAGUUAAGAAGAAAUGUAAAUGUUCAACCAUGCUGUGUACUCAGGAAAUACCUUUAUAAGACAUCAUGGACCUACAUUUUGGGCCAAAGGAGCUAGAGAAAAAGGAUAGAAAUUCAUCAGAUCCAGCAUCACUACUGAAUAUUUAAAUAAUCCAGGCCGGGCACAGUGGCUCACCCCUGUAAUGCCAGCACUUGGGGAGGCCGAGGGGGGCAGAUCAUGAGGUCAGGAGAUCGAGACCAUCCUGGUUAACAUGGUGAAACCCUGUCUCUACUAAAAAUACAAAAAAUUAGUCGGGAGUGGUGACAGGCGCCUGUAGUCCCAGCUACUAGUGAGGCUGAGGCAGGAGAAUGGUGUGAACCCGGGAGGCGGAGCAUGCAAUGAGCUGAGAUCGCGCCACUGCACUCCAGCCUGGGCGACAGAGCAAGACUCCGUCUCAAAAAAAAGAUAAAAUUUGAAAAUAAAUAAAUAAAUAAUCCAGAGUUUAUAUCCUACUAAAGAUAGAUAAACAGGAACAACUUUGGAUUCCCAGGGUUACAUGAGCAUUCAUGAUGAUUUAUUUGUUCAUCACCGUUUGAACAGACCACUGGGCAAAAUGUAGAGAUGGCUGAGAUAAUACUUAUGUUUUGAUCCCAUGGAGCAUAUAAUCUAAACUGAAAGGCAAGCAAGGUAUAUACAAAUGAAAGUAAAUUACAGGAAUUAAAAUGAUGUAAGUUCCUAUAAUGUAGUGGUUAGUAGCAUUGGCCAUGGAGUCAAAUGGGCGUAGUAUCAGAUCUUGACAAAUUACCUUUCCUCAGUCUCCUGAGCUGUAGAUAGCAAUGGAACCUAUGUCACAGGAAUGCUGUAAGCACUAAUGAGAAAAUACAUAUAAGGUUCUUAGCCCAGUUUCUGACAACAAUUUGAUAAUAUUUUCAUAAGAUACAAUAAUAAUGGUGGUAAUGACAACAACAAUAAUAAUAAUAGAAGUAAGGUAACUCAAAUGUCACAAGGCUGGAAAUGAUAGGAUUAUGUGAGGGAUGCAGGCAGCAUGUGUUAGACCCUUGCUACUUAAGGUAGGACCUAUGGCCAUGCAGCAUUGGAAUCUUUGGGGCAGCUGUUAGAAAAGCAGGAGCUCAGGCCUCAGCCCAGAGGGACUGCAUCAGAAUCCACAUUUUAUUUAGCAUUUUCCACAGGUAGACAGCAUGCACAUUGAAGUUCAAAAAGC